GUACUCCGGAGAAGCCGCAUCUGCUGCGGUGCCGAAGGUGCAACAGUAAUUUUUGUUACUGAAAUCUCUCAGGCAAAAGGACGGAGAAUG
rnacentral:ncRNA from 1 species